rnacentral:rRNA from 1 species
UGGGGAAUUUUGGACAAUGGGGGCAACCCUGAUCCAGCCAUGCCGCGUGAGUGAAGAAGGCCUUCGGGUUGUAAAGCUCUUUCGGACGGAACGAAAUGGUUACGGAUAAUACCUGUGACUGAUGACGGUACUGUAAGAAGAAGCACCGGCUAACUACGUGCCAGCAGCCGCGGUAAUACGUAGGGUGCGAGCGUUAAUCGGAAUUACUGGGCGUAAAGCGUGCGCAGGCGGUUCGCCAAGUCAGGUGUGAAAUCCCCGGGCUUAACCUGGGAAUUGCGCUUGAAACUAGCGGGCUUGAGUGUGGCAGAGGGGGGUGGAAUUCCACGUGUAGCAGUGAAAUGCGUAGAGAUGUGGAGGAACACCGAUGGCGAAGGCAGCCCCCUGGGUCAACACUGACGCUCAUGCACGAAAGCGUGGGGAGCAAACAGGAUUAGAUACCCAGGUAGUCCCUGAGCGGGCUGGCAAGGCGCAU